AGAUUUAUCCACGAGGAGCGAAAACUCUGCUUCGUGCGUGUUCGCCCCACUUAUAAAAAGCGUCCGAUAGACGCUUUUUCGUGGGAGCUAGAAGCUCUGAUUCAGAAAUCCCCCAUUGUUCUGCACGCUGUGCACCGUUGGUCCGUGCCGGUCCGCCAUUACGGUAGUUAAACGGGAGUAGAGGUUUUUCCGACCUGCUGAGAUUCCGAAAGGAGGAGACAGUAGAGUUUCGGACCACGAGCCGACGCCCUAUCCCGCAACUUUAGUUCGACCCUCGACGCACGUAGACCCGGCCUAGCUACGCUACUGCUGAGCCAACCCGAGCACCCCUCAUCUGGUGACUCCGCCGGCCGUCGAACAUCGCAUGCAUCCGGCGUAUCCCUCGGCGACAAGUAACGUAACGCCUCGAGCUCCAGUAGCAUAAACCCUGCGCAGGUAUGUCGACAUACAUGGCCAUGUUACACACCACAACACACACACUGUACAUAUCACCCACCCGCAUGAAUCUUUCCGAAAAUAGAAAAUGAAUACAUAGAUGAAUUCAAGUUAA